UACGGGGGGGGCAAGCGUUGUUCGGAAUUACUGGGCGGAAAGGGCUCGUAGGUGGCCAACUAAGUCAGACGUGAAAUCCCUCGGCUUAACCGGGGAACUGCGUCUGAUACUGGAUGGCUUGAGUUUGGGAGAGGGACGCGGAAUUCCAGGUGUAGCGGUGAAAUGCGUAGAUAUCUGGAGGAACACCGGUGGCGAAGGCGGCGUCCUGGACCAACACUGACGCUGAGUGAGCGAAAGCCAGGGGAGCAAACGGG
rnacentral:rRNA from 1 species